rnacentral:rRNA from 1 species
GAAGUCGUAACAAGGUAGCCGUAGGGGAACCUGCGGA